UUUUAUCUUCUCCCUCGUAUAAAACCCAAAACCCUACUCCCGAAACCUCAUCACCCUCAGUCCCAAACUCUGUUCUCAUGAUUACUGUGCUAAGCUCCAGCACACACAGCUGAAGUCUCAACAAAAACACCAUCCCUCAACUUCAUGACUAUCCGUGGCAGGCGCAUCCCAGCUCCGUAGACACAGGAAGGGUGAGAAAUGAGGUGAAAGCAGCGUCACCAUCAUCAUCUUCCAAACUCAACUCUGCCAGAAAGAUGGUCAAAAGAAGGGCUCCACCGCCGGCGGCGGCGGGGAAGAAUGGUGGCCGUCGUUCGCGGCGGCCCUGCAAUCAUAACUCAGUCAUCGGAGACGGGAAGAGGAAGCAGAAGAAGUUGGUACUUCUCCAGGAGAGUCAGCUCACUGCGGACUAUAUUCUGAAGAAGGUGUUCCGGAAAGAUGGUCCUCCUCUUGGUGUCGAGUUCGAUUCUCUGCCUUCUGGGGUGUUUUGCCAUUGUAAAGAUUCCAGAAAUACGUGCUCUGCCUCCCAAGAAAUCCAAAGAGUGCAUCAAAGGAGGAAGGUUGUCAAGCCUGCUGUAUUAGAUUGUCAGGUUUCUUGUAAGAAGAGUGCUGCAGUGAGGAAUCAUGGUAUUGGUAAAGGUUUGAUGACCGUAUGGCAGGUAUUAAAUCCUGGUGCUAGAGGAUUUCCCACCGGUGUUGAUUUUUCAGACAAUAAAACCACUGGUGGAUCUCAAAUCUCGACUUCUAAAUCACGAAAACCACUAAAUGGUGAUAAGAAGCUACAAAAGCCAAAACUUUUGACGAGAAGGCUGAGAAAUAAAGUGGGGGAUAAAAAAAAGACUUCUGUAAGAAGGAGAAAGGCAGAAUGUAAUAAAGAUGAAAGUCAUAAAACAAUACACAAAGAUAAAUGUCAACUUGCUCUGGUGGGAGCAAGGUCUGAGGAACACCUUGAUUCAUUUAUGGAGCUAGUGGAUGAUGAGGAGCUUGAAGUAAGGGAGUUACAAGCAGGACCCAAUCCACUAACCUGCUCUGCCCAUUUUGCUACAAAUGGACUGCAUUGUUGUUCUCUUUGCAAAGAUUUGCUCUCUAAGUUCCCCCCUGAUUCUGUAAAAAUGAGGCAACCAUUUUGUCUUCAACCUUGGGAUUCUUCUCCAGGACUUGUCAAGAAGCUUUUUAAGGUCUUCCAUUUUCUUUAUACUUAUGCUGCAACAAUUGAUGUAUACCCAUUUACCCUUGAUGAAUUUGCUGAAUCAUUUCAUGACAAGGAUUCUUUGUUACUUGGAAAAGUUCAUGUGGCCCUUCUCAAGUUUCUUCUGUCAAACAUUGAGAUGCAGCUUAGUAAUGGAUGUAUUCCUCGUGCAAGCAAAAAUUUCUUUUUUCUUGGCUUACUGCACUCGGUUGAACGUCAAGAGUUUGUCGUGAAAAUCUGGAAUAAAUUUUUAAAUCCUCUAACAUGGACGGAAAUACUGCGUCAAGUGUUGAUUGCAGCUGGUUUUGGAUCAAAAGAGGGUACAUUACGAAAGGAAUUCCUAAACAAGGAAGUAGAUCUUAUGGUCAAGUACGGAUUGCGUCCUGGUACUUUGAAGUGUGAACUGUUUAGUAUUUUGUCAGAACAAGGGAAUAGUGGACUGAAAGUGUCUGAGUUGGCGAGGUCUUUGCAGAUUGUUGAUAUGAAUCUUGCCAGCACAACUGAUGAACUGGAAUGUUUAAUAAGUUCAACUCUUGCUAGUGACAUUACUUUGUUCGAAAAAAUCUCAGCUUCAGCAUAUCGUUUACGUACUAAUUCUGGCACAAUGGCAACUGAAAAUUCUCAGUCAGAUACUGAUGACUCUGGAAGCAUUGAUGAUGAUGAAUCCGAGGAUGGGGACACAUCUAGCAGUGGUGAUGAAUUUGAGUGUGAUUCAUUGGCUGCAAAAAAAGGAAGACAUAAGCAUACAAAUCAUUGCAAGAGUAAUAAUAACAUGUUAACUGUAUACAGUGAAAUUGAUGAGAGCCAUCCAGGAGAAGUAUGGCUGCUAGGACUGAUGGAAGGUGAAUAUUCAGAUUUAAGCACUGAAGAGAAGUUAGAUGCCUUAAUUGCUUUAGUUGAUCUUCUUAGUGCUGCAACCAGUAUAACAGUGGAGGAUCCAAUGAAAGCCAUAGCAGAUUACAUUCCAAACGGUCAUCAUUUUAAUUCUGGAGCAAAAAUAAAAAGAUCAUCAGCUGCAGAACGUAAUAUCCUCCAGCCAUCCUUCAGUCAUAUUGGAAAAAUUUCUGCUACAGAAGGGACAUCUUUAGAAAUUCGUCCAAUUGAUUCUUCUUCCUCAAUGCCACAGUUCUCUGGGAAGGAGAAAACUUUUAACAUGAGGGAGGAAGAAAAGAAUCUGGAAAUUGAGGUUGAUUUACAUCCUAUGCAAUCUGUCUUUUUGGGUUCAGAUCGUAGGUACAACAGGUACUGGAUUUUCUUGGGCCCUUGUAAUGGAACUGAUCCAGGCCACAAGCGUGUGUAUUUUGAAUCAUCUGAAGAUGGUCACUGGGAAGUGAUUGAUACCCUAGAGGCUUUGUGUGCCUUGUUGUCUGCUUUGGACAAUAGGGGCAGGCGAGAAGCUCUCCUUCUUGAUUCUUUGGAGAAGCGAGAGACUUAUCUCUGCCAAGCAAUGUCCAGUAGAAUGUCUGUGGAUGCUGGAAUCAGGCAGUCUGCACAAUCUGAUCAAUCAGAAAUAGACAUGAUUAGAGAAGAAAGUUCUUCACCAGUGUCUGAUGUAGACAAUAAUCUAUGUAUGAUUGAAAUCACAAAAAAUUGCUUGGUUUCAAGUGGUGCCGUAUUUAAUGAGGUCUGGAAGAAGGGAGAAGAGCAAAAACAAAAAUGGAACCGUCUGCAAGCAUUCGAUGCAUGGAUAUGGAAUUCUUUCUACUGUAAUCUUAAUGUGGUAAAAUAUAGCAAAAGGUCUUAUUUUGACUCACUCACAAGAUGUGAAAGUUGCCAUGAUCUGUUUUGGAGAGAUGAAAAGCACUGCAGGACGUGUCAUUCAACAUUUGAGCUUGAUUUUAAUCUAGAAGAAAGAUAUGCUGUACAUGCUGCUACAUGCAGGGAGAAAGAAAAUGCUAAUGUCUUUCCAAAGCACAAAGUCCUACCAUCACAGUUGCAAGCACUUAAAGCUGCAAUUCAUGCUAUGGAGUCAGUUAUGCCGAAAGAUGCCUUGGUUGGUGCAUGGAGAAAAUCAGCUCAUAAACUUUGGGUCAAACGGCUCCGACGUACUUCAUCUUUGGCAGAGCUUUUGCAGGUGCUUGCUGAUUUUGUUGGUGCCAUCAAUGAAGACUGGUUGUGUCAAAGCAGCAUUGCAUUGGGUUCAGAUACCAUCUUAGAAGAAAUCAUUGCAUGCUUUCCAACAAUGCCACAAACAUCAUCUGCAGUUGCUCUUUGGUUAGUGAAAGUAGACUCUUUGAUUGCUCCCCAUUUGGAAAUAGUGCAGUCCGAAAAGGCACAGAGGCAUCCCAGUGGAUUAAAAGGCAAGCGAGCUCGAGAAUAAUAGACAGCAGUUUUUGGUCAAGGAUACUAUGCAAGGUGGAAUUUGAUUUGUAUAUUGGAGGCAUGAAGAAUAUUGUUUGUUACAGCAGUUUCAGAACACAAGAAGCAUCAGCUCUUCAUGGUGGUUAUUACAAUCAUUGUCAUGGUGGCCUCUGUUGCUACUCGUUUGAAGGGUGGCAAGCUUUGUGAGCUGGUGAAGCACUAGGAAAAUUGAUUCGCUGCUUUUGAGGCUUGGGAGCAAAACCAACACACUCAAAUGUGUACACAGUUAUUAAUGUUAGGGCUACUGGGCUGCUUGGAUUGAACUCUUCACAUUUGGCUAUGUACGUGUUGAGCAAAGGGGUCUUUCUUAGAACACGGCCCUUUCUUUUUCGGCUUGUGCAUUGUCCACCGCUUGCACGAAGGCCAUGAACUUAGAAAUGGAGAGAAAUGGAGAGCAAAUUGAAGAAAUGACCUUGGGCAGGCAAGAGAACCUGGUAAACUGAAAUAAUUGCUUUAGUGAAUAAACCCAUCGAUAUUGAAGUACCACAAGUGGUACUCCAGUCCUCUUAUGAAACUUUCGUUAUUGGGUUUUCCGUACACUUCACAUGUUUCUAGUGAUCUUGUGCAUUGGCAUAAAUUCGAUAAUUAUACAGUUCAUCAGUUUUGUUAUUAUAAUUAUUUAUUAACUUUGAGGGCUCAAGAGGCGAAAAGAGAAAUAAACUCAUUAUAGGUUUAACCUACAG